GCUGCAGAGCGACGCAGCCUUCGGAGCAGUCGUCACUCCUGUCUGGGUACCAGCUCCACGCUGCCCUGCGCACGGCGGGCUGGCAUCGGGCCCGGGGGGAAGCGGAGCAGGUCUGCUGGUCGAAGUGACGCGGCGGCUCACUCGUGGCAACAAUCAGCAGGAACAGGAGACAGCAAGGAUAGGCCCAGGAAAACGAAGAAAUGGAGCAGCCCGUGCAGAACGGAGAGGAAGACCGCCCUUUGGGAGGGGUCGAAGGCCACCAGCCAGCAGCAAAUAAUAGACGGGGACAAGCUCGCCGACUUGCCCCUAAUUUCCGAUGGGCCAUACCCAAUAGGCAGAUCAAUGAUGGGAUGGGUGGAGAUGGAGAUGAUAUGGAAAUGUUCAUGGAGGAGAUGAGAGAAAUCAGGAGAAAACUUAGGGAGCUGCAGUUGAGGAAUUGUCUGCGUAUCCUUAUGGGGGAGCUCUCUAAUCACCAUGACCAUCAUGAUGAAUUUUGCCUUAUGCCUUGACUCCUGCCAUUUUCCAUGAGGUUAAUACUGUGAUUCCCACUGUUGUCCUCUUUUUCCUUACAUUUUCCUGAUAUGCCUUUACUGAUCCAUUUGCUGUGAACCUUAUGUAAUUUCCAUGUGUCAGGUGGGUUCUGUGUUACCAGCUUCUAAUUGGAGAUUGCCUUGGCACCCAAAGUUUCUGUCAACAGUAGAGUUUCACCCAUUUGCAUGGAAAAAUGUAAAGUCAAUAAAGCAAUU
rnacentral:lncRNA from 1 species